rnacentral:rRNA from 1 species
AGAGUUUGAUCCUGGCUCAGGAUGAACGCUAGCGACAGGCCUAACACAUGCAAGUCGAGGGGCAUCACAGAGUAGCAAUACUUGGGUGGCGACCGGCGCACGGGUGGGUAACGCGUGUGCAACCUACCUACAACAGGGGGAUAACCCGGAGAAAUUCGGACUAAUACCGCAUAAAACAGGGGUCCCGCAUGGGAAUAUUUGUUAAAGAUUUAUCGGUUGUAGAUGGGCAUGCGUUCCAUUAGUUAGUUGGCGAGGUAACGGCUCACCAAGACGUCGAUGGAUAGGGGAACUGAGAGGUUUGUCCCCCACACUGGAACUGAGACACGGACCAGACUCCUACGGGAGGCAGCAGUGAGGAAUAUUGGUCAAUGGGCGAGAGCCUGAACCAGCCAAGUCGCGUGAAGGAAGACGGCCUUAUGGGUUGUAAACUUCUUUUGCAGGGGAAUAAAAAGUAGGACGCGUCCUAUAUUGCAUGUACCCUGCGAAUAAGCAUCGGCUAACUCCGUGCCAGCAGCCGCGGUAAUACGGAGGAUGCGAGCGUUAUCCGGAUUUAUUGGGUUUAAAGGGUGCGCAGGCGGGCUUUUAAGUCAGCGGUGAAAUCUGGUCGCUUAACGAUCAAACUGCCGUUGAAACUGGGAGUCUUGAGUAUAGAUGAAGUAGGCGGAAUUCGUUGUGUAGCGGUGACAUGCUUAGAUAUAACGAGGAACUCCGAUUGCGUAGGCAGCUUACUAAACUAUAACUGACGCUCAAGCACGAAAGCGUGGGGAUCAAACAGGAUUAGAUACCCUGGUAGUCG